UACGUAGGGCGCAAGCGUUGUCCGGAAUUAUUGGGCGUAAAGAGCUCGUAGGCGGCUUGUCGCGUCUGUUGUGAAAACUCGAAGGCUCAACCUCGGGCUUGCAGUGGAUACGGGCAGACUAGAGUGCGGUAGGGGAGACUGGAAUUCCUGGUGUAGCGGUGGAAUGCGCAGAUAUCAGGAGGAACACCGAUUGCGAAGGCAGCUCGCUGGGACGUCACUGACGCUGGAGACGCGAAAGCGUGGGGAGCGAACAGG
rnacentral:rRNA from 1 species